UACUUUUUCUGCUUGUAGUGAUGCUACCAGAGGAAAAAAAAAAAAAAAGGAACUCUCAAUGAUUUUUUCUGUUUGGUGACAUUCUAUUGCAUAAAAGGAAUUCUAAAAUAACAGUUCCAGGCUGACAGUCAGAUUAAAAAACAAGUAGUUCAAUCAUAAAAAUAAACCAACUAUGUACCAGCAAAAAAAUAGCAAAAUCUAAAUUGGGUUAACUAGUUACUAUAGCCUCAAGCAUCUGCAUCAACUAGUUUGAUAAUUACUUUUCUGCUUGUCAGAAAUGAGAAAUGCUAAAGGCAAACUCAAUUCCAUGUUACACACAAGCACGAGUUCCACAUUUUUACUUGCUCUCAUGCUGACAAUGCACUCCAGAAAAAUUAAUGAUGCCACACACUAAUAGCAAAUGCCUAAUUUGAAAACAUUCUUUAGAAGACAAGUUGGCCUUGAGAGUAUUUUGUUUACUUAAAAAGGGGCAGGAAACAAAACAGUUUUCAGUUACACUUCUAAAUUUUCCUCUGAUGAGCAAUGCUGGGAAACUAGUUUUUCCACUCAGCUCCAAAUUAAACUUUUCCCUUGGUCUCAGAGUACAUACUAGAGCCAUUCUUAUAUUUGCAUUUGUAACUAGCUAAACAAGUUUCAGCAUAUCCCAUUUCUGUUUCUCUCCACAGCACAUGCAGUCCGUGCCCUCCACAAGUCUACCUGAAUUCUCUCUUCUUGUAGAUUUGAAAGCAAUUAUGGUGAACUUUUCAACAGUAUCUGUCUCCAGUGCAAUUCCUUUGAACUUCACGAUUGGAUUUUGCUCCUUUUUCUUUGCAGAAAUGGAACUGAAACACAUCAGUUACCUUAUGGUAGCACCAAUCUCUACUGGUGGAGUCUACAGGCUGCAGGCAAACCUUGAAGAAGGUCUCCUAGAGCAGCAUGAAAGGUGGAUAUGAGAGCCUGAAGUGCCCAAAUUUCAGACAGCCUGUUCCCUGUUAGCACCCUGACCUGAAGGAGCGGACAGCAGUCAAGGUACUGUAUUUUGUUUCAUGAUACCAAGUUACCUUUUGACCCCCUCCUGUUCAUUCUCAAAGAAGCAAAAAGCAGCUUCUCCAUGUGCUCCAGAGGAAAUGAGGCACUUGGUCACAGCUCC
rnacentral:lncRNA from 1 species